rnacentral:lncRNA from 1 species
CCUUAAUCAUCAUCUCAUCUUCUUCUUAUCAUUGAAAUUUCUAAUGGCUUAAUAGAUUGAAUUCUUGGAGUUCACUCAAAGAAAGUACUAGAUGGAACUUUUUAGUCAAAGAAAAAAAAGAGAGAUUCCAUAACGUGAAAGCAACAGAGCAGUAGUAGUACAUAAGCCGAAAGGUCAAUAUCGUCAGGCCAUAGUCAAACUCUGAGCGCAUGACUGUAAUAUCAGGGAGAAACAAAGGGCAAUAGUUUGUUUUCCUUUUAUAUAUACCAAGGGACAACCUGCAACUGCUUAUCACACAACUAUAACGUUCUUCAACAAAUACUUCCUCUGUUUUCUCUUUUAUUCUCUAAUCUCUCAAGCCUGUAGAUCUUUGCAAAAAAAAAUGGCAGGUGCAAGGGGAGAAAUGAUCAACGGUGGGAAUUAUUCGCCGAGGAUUGCUGGACGUCCGAUCCCAAGGAGGGGUCAAGUGAAAAUUGCUAUCUUAAUGGGGAUUGCCCAUUCUUUUGCUUCUAUUUUCUCUGCAAGUAGUCGCAGGCAAUCUGCAUCUCACUUGUCCUAGGUUGUUUAAUUUCUCCCAAAAAGUAAGAGAACUGGGAGGGUAAACGUUGCCCGUCCUAGGAAAGAUGUGAGCUGUUUUUUUUUUGUCGAUGUUCAUAUCAGUUUUGUACAGAGCUUGUAUUUAUAGCUUUUCAGAUGAAUGAAUUUUCAGUUUCUUUUUUUCCUAUCAGUUUCAGUUGAUCUUCUGAUUGAUUAUCAUCUCUCGGUACUUUGAAUUUGAAGAAAGGCAAUUUUCAAGUUUAAAAAGGUAAAAUAAUAUCAAUCUUAUGGAACUUCUCUCCAUCUUCUUUGUUCAUUUAUUUUAAUUUUGUGUUGAUUCAAAGAAGAAUCAGUCUCAAAAGUUCUCCGUUUUGUUCGUCGCAUAGAUCUGGUAGCAAAGCAAUUAUAUUUAGUCAUACUGGGCGAUGAAUUAAGAUGACACCGAGUUACAUAAAGGUGGUUGGGGAUUUGUCAAGCGAUUGCUUUUAUCAAAUUCUUGCAAGUUAUGACCUUUGGAAAAACAUAACAUAGAAAAGUACGCUACGCAAUUUCAAUAUAGCAGAAGGCCUAAAUUCAGGACAGAAUAUCAAGUAGAAACUCCCGAGGUAUGCUCUAGAUCCGAACAUGACCAAGAGAAGUUUGUGCAGAUUUGAAAACGGUUUGUUUCCAAGGCCACAACACAAAAGCAAGCAACUGCUAAACGUUGAUUUGCUCAUUUGUUGAUAGCAGAUAAAACAAAGAGAACAUUUUUGUCAAAUUUUUGUGCCAGUUUCAUGUUGUGCUAUUUUCUUUUUAAUGGCAUUGAAAAUUCGUCUAAUGCAUUAAAGUUAUUCUGGCAAGCCAAAUGCAACCGCAAAGAAACCACGGUAAUGAAUCAGAUAAACCCUUGUAGUUCAAAAGCUUGGUAUCUCAAGUUCCAUCCUUGUAGUGCAAAGGUGUGAGGUAAAGUUCCAUCCUUCUAUGACAGUUUCAUGCAUUGGUAUUUCAGUUCCAUCCUUGUAGCGCAAAAGUUGUGAGUUAAAGUCUUGGAUGGCACAAGUGACCUCAGGAAUCUUGACAGUUCCCUAAAACACGACAUAAUUAGUUUAUUUAAAUUUCAGGUGAUUUUCUAUAGUUUAAUGAGCAAAGGAUUGCCGAGGUUUCUGCUUAUUUGAAUAGUCUUACGUGCAAGCAUCAUCUGGGAAUUUCAAUGAAGUGAGCUUUGUCAAUGCCGGAUUUAGCCAGGCCAGACACAGAGGGACGAAACGUCCCCAUUGGGGUAGUGAGGUGGCAAACUUUUAACCGCUGUUGCAGCCUGGGGGGCUGUAAAAGGGCCUAAGAAAUUAGGCAGUGAAUAGCUGCCAAUGCUUUUUUCUUCUUUUGCGUAUUCUUUAACAUGACUUGAAACUGGUUCCCAUGAAGAUUUUAAAUGUGUUACAACAUUCCGAAAC